GGUAUAGACCCGAAACCCGGUGAUCUAGCCAUGGGCAGGUUGAAGGUUGGGUAACACUAACUGGAGGACCGAACCGACUAAUGUUGAAAAAUUAGCGGAUGACUUGUGGCUGGGGGUGAAAGGCCAAUCAAACCGGGAGAUAGCUGGUUCUCCCCGAAAGCUAUUUAGGUAGCGCCUCGUGAAUUCAUCUCCGGGGGUAGAGCACUGUUUCGGCAAGGGGGUCAUCCCGACUUACCAACCCGAUGCAAACUGCGAAUACCGGAGAAUGUUAUCACGGGAGACACACGGCGGGUGCUAACGUCCGUCGUGAAGAGGGAAACAACCCAGACCGCCAGCUAAGGUCCCAAAGUCAUGGUUAAGUGGGAAACGAUGUGGGAAGGCCCAGACAGCCAGGAUGUUGGCUUAGAAGCAGCCAUCAUUUAAAGAAAGCGUAAUAGCUCACUGGUCGAGUCGGCCUGCGCGGAAGAUGUAACGGGGCUAAACCAUGCACCGAAGCUGCGGCAGCGACACUAUGUGUUGUUGGGUAGGGGAGCGUUCUGUAAGCCUGUGAAGGUGUACUGUGAGGUAUGCUGGAGGUAUCAGAAGUGCGAAUGCUGACAUAAGUAACGAUAAAGCGGGUGAAAAGCCCGCUCGCCGGAAGACCAAGGGUUCCUGUCCAACGUUAAUCGGGGCAGGGUGAGUCGACCCCUAAGGCGAGGCCGAAAGGCGUAGUCGAUGGGAAACAGGUUAAUAUUCCUGUACUUGGUGUUACUGCGAAGGGGGGACGGAGAAGGCUAUGUUGGCCGGGCGACGGUUGUCCCGGUUUAAGCGUGUAGGCUGGUUUUCCAGGCAAAUCCGGAAAACCAAGGCUGAGGCGUGAUGACGAGGCACUACGGUGCUGAAGCGACAAAUGCCCUGCUUCCAGGAAAAGCCUCUAAGCAUCAGGUAACAUUAAAUCGUACCCCAAACCGACACAGGUGGUCAGGUAGAGAAUACCAAGGCGCUUGAGAGAACUCGGGUGAAGGAACUAGGCAAAAUGGUGCCGUAACUUCGGGAGAAGGCACGCUGAUAUGUAGGUGAAGCGACUUGCUCGUGGAGCUGAAAUCAGUCGAAGAUACCAGCUGGCUGCAACUGUUUAUUAAAAACACAGCACUGUGCAAACACGAAAGUGGACGUAUACGGUGUGACGCCUGCCCGGUGCCGGAAGGUUAAUUGAUGGGGUUAGCGGUAACGCGAAGCUCUUGAUCGAAGCCCCGGUAAACGGCGGCCGUAACUAUAACGGUCCUAAGGUAGCGAAAUUCCUUGUCGGGUAAGUUCCGACCUGCACGAAUGGCGUAAUGAUGGCCAGGCUGUCUCCACCCGAGACUCAGUGAAAUUGAACUCGCUGUGAAGAUGCAGUGUACCCGCGGCAAGACGGAAAGACCCCGUGAACCUUUACUAUAGCUUGACACUGAACA
rnacentral:rRNA from 1 species